GCCAUCAGGAGAAGCGAUAUGAGAAUAUUCCAGCACCAUUAGAAGUGUUUAUGUCGUUUUCUGUCAUUCCCAAAAGGGCCCGAUGGGACCGCCAGGACCUAAGGGAGAGUUUGGCUUCCCUGGACGACCAGUAAGCACCACAAUGGGGGUGAAAAUGUCAUCUAAUUUCCCAAAUGCUUUUGGAUGACGUCUGUCUCUGUUUGUAGGGACGUACAGGCUGGAUGGGACCUAAAGGAGAGAAAGGGGACGCUCAAGGCCUGCCUGGACCUCCUGGCCCUCCUGGACCACCAGGCCGCCCAGGAAUAUUCAACUGUCCCAAAGGAACAGUAUUCCCCAUUCCUCCUAGACCUCACUGCAAAAUGGCCCUUAAUCCAGAUGGGACCAUUGCAGCCGGUAACUGUCAGACUGGACCAAAGGGAGAAAAGGGGGAGAGGGGUCUUCCUGGUCUGCUGGCUUCAUCAAGUC
rnacentral:lncRNA from 1 species